ACACAUGCAGUCGAACGGAGAGUGGGGCAACUCACUUUCAGUGGCAAACGGGUGAGUAACGCGUGAAUAACCUGCCUUUGAGAAGGGGAUAACUAUCCGAAAGGAUAGCUAAUACCCUAUAAUGCCUUUUGAUACGAAGGCAAAAGGUGAAAGCGGGGCUGUCAAAGGCUUCGGCUCAAAGAGGGGUUCGCGUCCUAUCAGGUAGUUGGUGGGGUAAUGGCCUACCAAGCCAAUGACGGGUAGCUGGUCUUAGAGGAUGAUCAGCCACAGUGGGACUGAGACACGGCCCGCACCCCUACGGGGGGCAGCAGUGGGGAAUCGUGGACAAUGGACGAAAGUCUGACCCCGCAAUGCCGCGUGAGGGAAGAAGCCCUUCGGGGUGUAAACCUCUGUCAGGUGGGAAGAUGUGACUAAGGGCUAAUACCCCCUGGUUUUGACGGUACCACCAGAGGAAGGGACGGCUAACUACGUGCCAGCAGCCGCGGUAAUACGUAGGUCCCAAGCGUUGCGCGAUGUUACUGGGCGUAAAGCGUCCGUAGCUGGUUUCGUAAGCGGAUUGUCAAAACCCGAAGCUUAACUUCGGCAAGGCAUUCCGAACUGCGUUACUUGAGUCCUGUUCAGGUAGGCGGAAUUCCCGGUGUAGCGGUGAAAUGCGUAGAUAUCGGGAGGGACACCAGUGGCGAAGGCGGCCUACUGGGACGGUACUGACGGUCA
rnacentral:rRNA from 1 species